rnacentral:rRNA from 1 species
AACGAACGCUGGCGGCAGGCCUAACACAUGCAAGUCGAGCGCCCAGCAAUGGGAGCGGCGGACGGGUGAGUAACACGUGGGAAUAUGCCUUUCGGUUCGGCACAACUCAGGGAAACUUGAGCUAAUUCCGGAUACGCCCUUACGGGGAAAGAUUUAUCGCCGAAAGAUUAGCCCGCGUUGGAUUAGCUAGUUGGUGAGGUAACGGCCCACCAAGGCGACGAUCAGUAGCUGGUCNGAGAGGAUGAUCAGCCACAUUGGGACUGAGACACGGCCCAAACUCCUACGGGAGGCAGCAGUGGGGAAUAUUGGACAAUGGGCGCAAGCCUGAUCCAGCCAUGCCGCGUGAGUGAUGAAGGCCCUAGGGUUGUAAAGCUCUUUUA